AUGUUUCCUGUAGCUGUGCUGCUGCUGUUGGCAGCUGGAUCAUUUGUGAAGUGUGAGCGGUUGACGCAGCCAGCCUCUGUGACUGUGCAGCCAGGUCAACCUCUGACCAUCAGCUGCCAGGUCUCUUAUUCUGUCGGCAGCUACCGCACAAAUUGGAUCAGACAACCUGCAGGAAAAGGACUGGAGUGGAUUGGAAGCAGUUAUGGAGGGAGCAAAUACUAUAAAGAUUCACUAAAGAACAAGUUCAGUAUCGACUCAGACUCUUCCAGCAACACACUGACUCUAAAGGGACAGAACGUGCAGCCUGGAGACACUGCUGUGUAUUACUGUGCCAGAGACACACAAUGAUACAAACCAUCAGCCGACCUGAACAAAAACCCCUCAGUGCCUGAACACUAGUUACAUG